rnacentral:rRNA from 1 species
AGCAGCCGCGGUAAUUCCAGCUCCAAUAGCGUAUAUUAAAGUUGUUGCAGUUAAAAAAGCUCGUAGUUGAAUUUCGGGAUCAAUACGUCGGUCGUGCUUCGGUACGUACUGGCGUAAUUGAUUUCUCCCUUCUGACGAACCAUGAUGUCAUUAACUUGGUGUCAUGGGAAAUCAGGACUGUUACUUUGAAAAAAAUUAGAGUGUUUAAAGCAGGCUAACGCUUGAAUACAUUAGCAUGGAAUAAUGAAAUAGGACGUUAAUCCUAUUUUGUUGGUUUCUAGGAUCGACGUAAUGAUUAAUAGGGAUAGUUGGGGGCAUUAGUAUUCAAUUGUCAGGGGUGAAAUUCUUGGAUUUAUUGAAGACUAACUACUGCGAAAGCAUUUGCCAAGGAUGUUUUCAUUAAUCUAAGAACGAAAGUUAGGGGAAUCGAAGACGAUCAGAUACCGUCGUAGUCUUAACCAUAAACUAUAGCCGACUAGGGAUCGGAUGAUGUUAUUUUAAUGACUCAUUCGGCGCCUUA